UGGGGAAUAUUGCACAAUGGGCGCAAGCCUGAUGCAGCAACGCCGCGUGAGGGAUGACGGCCUUCGGGUUGUAAACCUCUUUUAGCAGGGAAGAAGCGAAAGUGACGGUACCUGCAGAAAAAGCACCGGCUAACUACGUGCCCGCAGCCGCGGUAAUACGUAGGGUGCAAGCGUUGUCCGGAAUUAUUGGGCGUAAAGAGCUCGUAGGCGGUCUGUCGCGUCUGCUGUGAAAUCCCGAGGCUCAACCUCGGGCCUGCAGUGGGUACGGGCAGACUAGAGUGCGGUAGGGGAGAAUGGAACUCCUGGUGUAGCGGUGGAAUGCGCAGAUAUCAGGAAGAACACCGAUGGCGAAGGCAGUUCUCUGGGCCGUAACUGACGCUGAGGAGCGAAAGCGUGGGGAGCGAACAGGAUUAGAUACCCUGGUAGUCCACGCCGUAAACGUUGGGCGCUAGAUGUGGGGCACCAUUCCACGGUUUCCGUGUCGCAGCUAACGCAUUAAGCGCCCCGCCUGGGGAGUACGGCCGCAAGGCUAAAACU
rnacentral:rRNA from 1 species